GUCCACGCCGUAAACGAUGGGUGCUAGGUGUGGGGGGUGGUCGACUCCCUCCGUGCGCAGCUAACGCAUUAAGCACCCCGCCUGGGGAGGUACGGCCGCAAGGCUAAAACUCAAAGGAAUUGACGGGGGUCCCGCACAAGCAGCGGAGCAUGUGGUUUAAUUCGAUGCAACGACGAAGAACCUUACCAGGGCUUGACAUGCACUGGAAAACCGUAGAAAUACGGUCCUCCUUCGGGACCAGUACACAGGUGGUGCAUGGCUGUCGU
rnacentral:rRNA from 1 species